rnacentral:rRNA from 1 species
UACGGAGGAUCCAAGCGUUAUCCGGCUUUAUUGGGUUUAAAGGGUGCGUAGGUGGCUUAUUAAGUCAGGGGUGAAAGACGGUAGCUUAACUAUCGCAGUGCCUUUGAUACUGAUGAGCUUGAAUGAACUAGAGGUAGGCGGAAUGUGACAAGUAGCGGUGAAAUGCAUAGAUAUGUCACAGAACACCAAUUGCGAAGGCAGCUUACUAUGGUUUGAUUGACACUGAGGCACGAAAGCGUGGGGAUCAAACAGG